CUACGGGCGGCACCAGCAAGGAAUUUUGUGCAAUGGGCGAAAGCCUGACACAGCGACGCCGCGUGGGGGAUGAAGGCCUUCGGGUUGUAAACCCCUUUUCUCAGGGAAGAAUAAUGACGGUACCUGAGGAAUAAGCCUCGGCUAACUACGUGCCAGCAGCCGCGGUAAUACGUAGGAGGCGAGCGUUACCCGGAUUUACUGGGCGUAAAGCGGGCGUAGGCGGUCUUUCAAGUUGGAUGUAAAAUCUCCCGGCUUAACUGGGAGGGGCCAUUCAAUACUGUUAGGCUAGAGGGCAGCAGAGGGGGGUGGAAUUCCCGGUGUAGUGGUGAAAUGCGUAGAUAUCGGGAGGAACACCAGUGGCGAAGGCGGCCUCCUGGGCUGUUACUGACGCUGAGGCCCAAAAGCGUGGGGAGCAAACAGGAUUAGAUACCCGGGUAGUC
rnacentral:rRNA from 1 species